GGUGUAUACAUCAGAAGAAUGACUGUCUCAAAGCUUUUUUAACCAUAUAUAUAUAUAUAUGGUUAAAAAAGCUUUGAGACAGUCAUUCUUCUGAUGUGUCAUGAUGCGUGCCUGCCUUUUUCUGUUGUGGAGUACUCUCUCAGCUACUUGGACAAACCAAAUAAUUGUGACCCAGACACCUGGUGUGGUGAAGAUGAUAGCCAGUGGCACGGUGACUUUGAAGUGCCACGUUGAUCAGAUUCUCGCCUUUUGCCACUCAGUGACUUGGAUGAAAGUAGACGCCAGGACUGGAACAAUGAGCACAAGAACUAACGUAAAGAUUAAUACGACCUCUGAGGUAGGGAAACGGGACAGAGUAUGUUUGGCAACCAUCACCAACGCAUUAGUGAGCGACUCUGGCAUGUACUACUGUUUGGCUGUUCACUCCAAGGCGGUCCACACUGGCAACGGAUCCAAUCUAAUCGUCACAGAGAGCAGCACUGAAUCCCCAAACAUCAAAAUCGUCUCAUCAGACAGCGACGGCUCAUCCGCCGCUCUGCUGUGUUUGGUGUCUGGAGUGGUCCCGUCUCAAGUCCAUGUGUUCUGGCUCAUAGACGGGAGAGAGGACAGUGGACUUACUGAGUCCACCUGGACAGACAACAGUGAUUCAGCCACAGAGUUCACUAGGAACCAGAUUCUGGUCCAGGCAGAGGAGUGGGACAGAGGGGUUCAGUGUACGUGUGUGGUGGAGUUUGAGGGAAAUUCUAUCAACAAAACUGUGCAAAGAAUAGAUUUUGCCGUGCUGUGUUACGUCACAGUGUGGAUAUACAGACUCCUGGGAAUAACUGCCUGGCUUCUGCUGUUGAUCCUGGCUACCACUGUGGCAGCAUGCAGGGGCAGGACUAGAGGUGUUCAGAGGAAGGAUACCUCAAAGAACAGGGGACGAAGGCAUAAUUCAUCAUAAAAAGGUUUUACAGUUUGUCAUUUGUACAAAGUCAUUUUGGUCGCAUUGUCGUGUGUCAAGACCAUUGGGAAAAGUUGUUUAUUUUUGUUGUUGUUGUCGUCGCUUGCUUAACUGUUGCUAACUAUUCAAAAAUGAAAGUGUAAAUUGGGAAAAAGCUCAUUAGAAUUUCAAAUUGCAGUUAUAUAUUUUUUCUCAUAGAACAUAUUCAUACUGAAUUAUAAUCCACUGUAAAUGCUCUCUGAUUACAAAGUCCUGGGUCAGAUAUCCACUUUUUUUCUUAUUCGAAACCUUUGCGCGAGUGAUCGAAAUGUUAUUGAAUUCCCCUCUGUGAACCACACUUUGCUACGCUUCAUGCAGGCAACUGUGUCGUUACAGACUUCGAAUGAAUCCAUUUCAAGAAAAUGUCCAUGUUUAAAAAGAUGCAAUACAAUAGUAUUGCUACAUUCCUAUAUUCUCAUGCUAUGCUGUUACUGGCUUAUUUGCUAAAGUAAGAAACUUUUCCAGAAAUCCUCACCAUCUGUUUUGACUACUAACUUGUAAAGGAGAGACAUGAUACCCAACUAUUUCUCUUAAUAAGUGCAUAUCAGAUAAUCAAAUGAAAUCACAUUUUAUUUGUCACAAUGCACCGAAUACAACAGGUGUGGACUUGACCGUCAAAUGCUUCCUUAGGAGCCCUUUUCCACCAACGCAGAGUUAAAACGUUUAUUUUUAUGUGCUAAAUAAAAAAAGGAAAUAAUAACACAGAUACGUGCAUAUUUUAUGAUAAAGUAAUUGCAAUAACUGUCCUUCAAAUGAAGUAAGCCGUGUGCAGCACCGUCGCUUAUCCAAAUCAUCUUAUUUAGUCCAACAGACUAAAUGUGUAAACGUGUCCUAUGUGAGAAAGGGCGACAUUAUUGCUGGUCUCUGUCGUUUUGCUUUCAUUUCUGAAAGAGGAGGUCAGAGACCUGGCAGUGUGGUAACAGAUUAACAACCUCUCUCUCAAUGUGGGCAAGACAGAGGGCCGAACAGGCCCUCAUUAACAUCGAUGGGACUGAAGUUGAGCGGGUCGAGAGUUUCAAGUUCCUUGGUGUCCACAUCACCAACAAAGUAUCAUGGUCCAAACACACCAAGACAGCUGUGAAGUGGGCACGACAACACCUUUCCCCCUCAGGAGACUGAAAAUAUUUGGCAUGGGUCCCCAAAUCCUCAAAUACAGCUGCACCGGUGAGAGCAUGCUGACCGGUUGCAUCAUCGCCUGGUAAGGCAACUCCUUGGCAUCUGACCGUAAGGAGCUGCAGAGGGUAGUGCGAACGGCCCAGUACAUCACUGGGGCCAAGCUCCCUGACAUCCAGAACCUAUAUACUAGGCGGUGUCAGAGGGAAGCUCAAAAAAUAGUCAAAGACUCCAGUCACCCAAGUCAUAGACUGUUUUCUCUGCUACCGUACGGCAAGCGGUACCAGAGCGCCAAGUCUAGGAACAAAAGGCUCCUUAACAGAUUCUACCCCCAAGCCAUAAGACUGCUGAGCAACUCUAUUACUUGAACUGCAUUGUUGGUUAAAGGCUUGUAAGGAAGCAUUUCACGGUAAGGUCUACUACACCUGUUGUAUUCGGCGCAUGUGACAAAUAAAAUUUGAUUUGAUUUUUGGUUUAAAAAAAUGGUACAGUAAGCAACUCCAAAGCAUGGAUUGCAGUAAUUCCUUAUCUAUAGACUACUUUGAGAGGUAAUGAAAUGAAUGAAUUAAGGAAUGAAUGAAUGAAUUAAUUGUAUUAUUUGAGUGUACCUAUCGCUUUUAAAUGUCAUUGCCAGGUAAAUGAAUGGGAAGAGCAUGAUUUCGUUCAGAGAAUGAACUGCCAGACAUAUUCUUUGUCCAUUUUUGGGGUUGCUACAGAUUUGUCAGUCGAUAACAUAGAGGCCUCCUCUUCCUUCCUGCCCUACAUCUCAUAGACUAUAUGCCAAUGAACAGCCAUUUCAUUCAACCCGUUUCCAAAUGAGGAGUUAAAACAUGCAGGCUAAUUUAAAUAGAGUAAUAACAUUUUCAUAUGGAAAAGUAGAAAGCUUGGUAUACAGUGCAUUCAGAAAGUAUUCAGACCCUUUCACAUUUUCCACAUUUUGUUACGUUACAGCCUUAUUCUAAAAUUGAUUAAAUCAAUAAAAAUCGUCAUCAAUCUACACACAAUACCCCAUAAUGACAAAACAAAAACAGGUUUUUAGAAAUGUUUACAAAUGUAUUAUUAAAUAAAAGAUAAUACAGUAUUUACAUAAGUAUUCAGACCCUUUGCUAUGAGACUCGAAAUUGAGCUCAGGUGCAUCCUGUUUCCAUUGAUUAUCCUUAAAAUGUUUCUACAACUUGAUUGAAGUCCACCUGUGGUAAAUUCAAUUGACUGGACAUGAUUUGGAAAGGUACACACCUGUCUAUAUAAGGUCCCACAGUUAACUGUGCAUGUCAGAGCAAAAACCAAGCCAUGAGGUCGAAGGAAUUGUCCUUAGAGCUCCAAGACAUGAUUGUGUCAAGGCAUAGAUCUGGGGAAGGGUACCAAAAAAUGUCUGCAGCAUUGAAGGCCUCGAAGAACACAGUUGCCCCCAUCAUUCUUAAAUGGAAGACUCUUCCUAGAGCUGGCCGCCCGGCCAAACUGAGAAAUUGGGGGAGAAGGGCCUUGGUUAGGGAGGUGACCAAGAACCCGAUGGUUACUCUGACAGAAGGAAGCCACUCCUCAGUAAAAGGCACAUGACAUCCCGCUUCGAGUUUGCCAAAAGGCACAUAAAGGACUCUCAGACCAUGAUUCUCUGAUCUGAAGAAACCAAGAUUGAAUGCCAAGCAUCACGUCUGGAGGAAACCUGGCACCAUCACUACGGUGAAGCAUGGUGGUGGCAGCAUCAUGCUGUGGAUAUGUUAUUCAGCGUCAGGGACUGGAAGACAAAAUAUAUCAUUCUCAACACCUGCUUUGGCUUUGUCAUUAUGGGGUAUUGUGUGUAUAUUGAUGAGGGGAAAAACAAUUGAAUCAAUUUUAGAUUAAGGCUGUCACGUAACAAAAUGUGUAAAAAGUCAAGGGGUCUGAGUACUUUCCGAAUUGCUGAAAAUGACAUGAGAUCUGUAGCUGAGAAUGAGACUGAGUGGCAGAGUAGACCUAAAUGUGGUUUGCGUUCUGUUCAUAAUUUUGCCAGAACAGUGGACAGAAAGAAACACACAAUCAAGUCAGGAGGUACAGCAGUGGCUUGUGGUUUGAAGAGGCGACACUGACUGAGGUGGGCUUUCAAGGCAAAUGUCAUAGGUCGACUUCUGAAGAAUUCAUGCACUCAUGAAAAAAAAAUCCCCUUGCAAUUGUUGUGACAUUUUGUGCUCUUUGUCACCUCCAACUAAAUCAUUUUGGAAAAAAAUACAGAGGUAAUGAUCAUCAUCAUCAUUUGUGUCAGUUCCAUUUCAAUUAAAUAUAUAUGUUUUUAAACUUAUGCAACUGGCACUGCCUAGCGUUGAAACAAUGGAGACCACUAACUACCUCUUCAUUUUAAGAGGUUGCUAACCAGAAUGGUAGCAUCAGUUGUCUGCAGUCCCUUUUUACUCAGUGGUAUGGCCUCACAACCUUAAUCAGGUCAAAGAAAAGACCACCAUGUUGCACAUUUAGUUUGGAGAGCAUUUCAGUCUGUGUCCACUUUUGAUUCAAUUGUUGUUGACAUGCCAAAUGAAUAAAGCCACUUUGAAUUAGCUAAAGAAGAGUGUAUAAACUGUAAAGACGUACCUUGUAAAUAUAUACUGAUGUAAACAAACCAUUUUUGCUUAUAAUUACUUGGACUGAAAAAAUUUACUGAUAUACCUUAGAAUAUAACAUCCUCCUGAAUCUGUCACGGACUGCAUCGAGAGACAGCUUUCUACAAAACUACAUAAAUGUCUCUGUAAUAUCUUUCAGAAAUGGUUUUGAAAUUAAAAGCACA